UACGUAGGGACCAAGCGUUGUUCGGAUUUACUGGGCGUAAAGGGCGCGUAGGCGGCGUGUUAAGUCAGCUGUGAAAUCUCCAAGCUUAACUUGGAACGGUCAGCUGAUACUGAUGUGCUAGAGUGCAGAAAGGGCAAUCGGAAUUCUUGGUGUAGCGGUGAAAUGCGUAGAUAUCAGGAGGAACACCGGUGGUGUAGACGGCUUUCUGGACCGUAACUGACGCUGAGACACGAAAGCGUGGGGAGCAAACAGG
rnacentral:rRNA from 1 species